rfam:Picea glauca, whole genome shotgun sequence.
GGGUGCGAUCAUACCAGCGUUAAUGCACAGGAUUCCAUCAGAACUCCGCAGUUAAGCGCGCUUGGGAUA